AGGGGCCUAUGAAGAAUUGGAGGCAUCCUGUUCAUCUCUCUGAGGGGACUUUGCCACACUGGAGACAUGUAGCCCAGGCAGCUGAAGAGCCCCCUUCUUGGAAUUGUUCUUCGCUGGCGUCCCUGGAGUGGUCCUUCUUGGAACAGCCAGUGAUGGGGAAUGAAGAGCCUGCAUCCUGGAGAUGUUCAUCUCAGAGGACUAAGAGCUGCUUCUUCUCGGAUAAUCCCGUCCUGCCUGGCUACUUCCCCCUGAACUAUACAGCCUUCGGUGAUCCCUUGCCUCCUCCUGCUAUGCUGGACUCCACGUCGGCUCCCUGGCCUCCUGCCCCAGCUCUUCCUCACUACGGACAGAGCCGCCACAAUCUGGUAAUGCGCCGUCCCCAGCGCCACGUGUCCAACGGCCCCUACAGCCGCUCCAUGGAGGGAGGCUUCAGUCGGCAGUGGCCCCGGACUGGCCAGACACAUUGAGCGGCCUCCUCCCUGCCCAGGGAAGUGUGACCGGACACACUGGCUGGGACGCGUGCACACUGCCCUUCCAUGGACGUGGCCAGAUGGACUGGUCCUCAUGAAUCUGUCUCCUGUUUUUUCCAAUAAAGAUGUGACAUUCUUCUGGGGCA
rnacentral:lncRNA from 1 species